GUAUUACGAUUUUGUCUAAAAUUGUGAUGAUUUCGACGAUUAGGGUGAUGAAUAUAAUCGUCGAAAUCAUCACAAUUUUAAACGAAAUCG
rnacentral:pre_miRNA from 1 species